UACGGGGGGGGCAAGCGUUGUUCGGAAUUACUGGGCGUAAAGGGCUCGUAGGCGGCCAACUAAGUCAGACGUGAAAUCCCUCGGCUUAACCGGGGAACUGCCUCUGAUACUGGAUGGCUUGAGAUUGGGAGAGGGAUGCGGGAUUCCAGGUGUAGCGGUGAAAUGCGUAGAUAUCUGGAGGAACACCGGUGGCGAAGGCGGCAUCCUGGACCAACACUGACGCUGAGGAGCGAAAGCCAGGGGAGCAAACGGG
rnacentral:rRNA from 1 species